CAAAAAUGAUGAAUUCAUUUAUGUCAGUUCUGCUACUGAAUGUAUUUUGACGAUAGUUACAUAUCUGAUUA